AAGAUCAUUACUGACUUAAGUAUUCUGAAAGGUCUCCGGCAGGGCGCCCCUCCCUAAUAAGGAGGGAUCCGCCUGACGGCCCUCUCAGCACCCCUUGUGUACCUUACCACGUUGCUUUGGCGGGCCGACCCGGUUGUAACCCGGGCGGCCGGGCGCCCCCAGCCCCUUCGUCGGGGCCAGGACGCCCAGGCUAAGCGCCCGCCAGCGUACCACACACUCCAGCGAUUAUUCCGUGUAGUCCUGAUAAAUCAUUCAAUGAAUCAAAACUUUCAACAACGGAUCUCUUGGUUCUGGCAUCGAUGAAGAACGCAGCGAAAUGCGAUAAGUAAUGUGAAUUGCAGAAUUCAGUGAAUCAUCGAAUCUUUGAACGCACAUUGCGCCCUCUGGUAUUCCGGAGGGCAUGCCUGUUCGAGCGUCAUUUCAACCCUCAAGCUCUGCUUGGUAUUGGGCGACGUCCGCUGCCGGACGCGCCUCGAAGACCUCGGCGACGGCGUCUGAGCCUCGAGCGUAGUAGUAGCAUAUCUCGCUUUGGAGGCGUCGGACGGCGGCCGCCGGACAAUCGACUUCGGUCCAUCAUUCACUAAGGUGACCUCGGAUCAGGUAGGAUACCCGCUGAACUUAGCAUAUCAAUA
rnacentral:rRNA from 1 species